rnacentral:rRNA from 1 species
GGCGCGGCGNNNGUCUAAGUCCCUUGGAACNGGGNGUCAUAGAGGGUGAGAAUCCCGNNUGCGACCGGCGACCAAGCCCUGUUGAAACUCCUUCGACGAGUCGAGUUGUUUGGGAAUGCAGCNCNAAAUGGGUGGUAAAUNUCAUCUAAAGCUAAAUACCGNCCNGAGACCGAUAGCGCACAAGUAGAGUGAUGGAAAGAUGAAAAGCACUUUGGAAAGAGAGUCAAAAAGUACGUGAAAUUGUUGAAAGGGAAGCGNUUGCAACCAGACCUGCCCGCGGGCGAUCAGCUGUCCCUUCCGGGGCGGUGUANUUGCCCGUGAUCAGGCCAGNAUCGGUUCGGGCGGCCGGAUAAAGGCCUUGGGAANGUAGCUCCUCUCGGGGAGUGUUAUAGCCCUCGGUGCAAUGCGGCCAGCCCUGGACCGAGGANCGCGCUUCGGCUAGGAUGCUGGCGUAAUGGUUGUAAGCGNCCCGUCUUGAAACACGGACCAAGGAUCUAACAUCUAUGCGAGUGUGUGGGUGUCAAACCCAUGCGCGUAAUGAAAGUGAACGGAGGUGGGAACCCNCNAGGGCGCACCAUCGACCGAUCCUGAUGUCUUCGGAUGGAUUUGAGUAAGAGCAUANCUGUUGGGACCCGAAAGAUGGUGAACUAUGCNUGAAUAGGGUGAAGCCAGAGGAAACUCUGGUGGAGGCUCGCAGNNGUUCUGACNUGNAAAUCUCUNUCCNNACUUGGGUUUAGGGGNGAAAGA